GUAGGGAAUUUUGCGCAAUGGGGGAAACCCUGACGCAGCAACGCCAUGUGUGGGAUGAAGCAUUUAGGUGUGUAAACCACUGUCGCCAGGGAAUAAGGUAGGUAUAGACCUGAUUGAUGGUACCUCCAGAGGAAGCCACGGCUAACUCUGUGCCAGCAGCCGCGGUAAUACAGAGGUGGCGAGCGUUGUUCGGAUUUACUGGGCGUAAAGCGCACGUAGGCGGUAUGUUAAGUUGGAUGUGAAAGCCCCGGGCUCAACCUGGGAAUUGCAUUCAAAACUGGCAUGCUAGAGUAUGUGAGAGGGGGGUAGAAUUCCAAGUGUAGCGGUGAAAUGCGUAGAGAUUUGGAGGAAUACCAGUGGCGAAGGCGGCCCCCUGGCACAAUACUGACGCUGAGGUGCGAAAGCGUGGGGAGCAAACAGGAUUAGAUACCCGUGUAGUCC
rnacentral:rRNA from 1 species